rnacentral:rRNA from 1 species
CCCGCUUGCGGGGGAUUAGUGGCGAACGGGUGAGUAACACGUGAGUAACCUGCCCUUAACUCUGGGAUAAGCCUUGGAAACGGGGUCUAAUACUGGAUAUUGACUUUACCUCGCAUGGGGUUUUGUUGAAAGAUUUAUUGGUUUUGGAUGGACUCGCGGCCUAUCAGCUUGUUGGUGAGGUAAUGGCUCACCAAGGCGACGACGGGUAGCCGGCCUGAGAGGGUGACCGGCCACACUGGGACUGAGACACGGCCCAGACUCCUACGGGAGGCAGCAGUGGGGAAUAUUGCACAAUGGGCGAAAGCCUGAUGCAGCGACGCCGCGUGAGGGAUGACGGCCUUCGGGUUGUAAACCUCUUUCAGUAGGGAACAAGGCCAGCAUUUUUGUUGGUUGAGGGUACUUGCAGAAGAAGCGCCGGCUAACUACGUGCCAGCAGCCGCGGUAAUACGUAGGGCGCAAGCGUUAUCCGGAAUUAUUGGGCGUAAAGAGCUCGUAGGCGGUUUGUCGCGUCUGCCGUGAAAGUCCGGGGCUCAACUCCGGAUCUGCGGUGGGUACGGGCAG